GCUCUUGUAGUGUAGUGGUUAUCACGUCUCCUUUACACGGAGAAGGUCUCAGGUUCGAACCCUGGCAAGAGCA
rnacentral:tRNA from 2 species